UGUUACUAAUAACAACGAUGGCUGCAUUCCAUUUAGGUAAGCCAGUUCCAGGGCUCUGGAGUCACUGACAUGGCUUACUGGACACUGGAGCCAUCGUUAAUCUUAUUAUUUACAGCUGAGCUUUUCCUGCUAGAUGAGUCAAAAUGUCUGCUGUGAAAAGGGUCUAUGGAAGUCAAGCAGAAGUGGAGAGAAACUGAACAGGACUAGAAAUGACUCUGCAAGCACCAUGAAGCUGGACGGAUGCUUUCCUGUUGAAAUCCAAUUAGUCUCUUCAACAAGACAUUUCCUGGCCAUUAGCGGAGGAAGGACAACACUGACUCACUCCCAUCCCCCACCUGAGGACUUACCUACAGUAAAAAGUGGGAUUUAUGAAGGGGAAAUGCUAACCCAGACCCUGAGGAGAAGAGAGGAAUUCAGAACAUAUGGAAAGGGCAAUACUGUGGUAACCUGCGAAGUGGAGUCACAUCGACCAUGAUUUGGUGCGAUUACAUGUGGAAGUAAAACAGGGCCUCAGGUUUAGUUGACAGGCUGCAGUCGACCUGCUCUGGCCACCGGCCGAGACCACAGAUGGUCAUCGGUGAGGGAGAGGAGAGGACGUCCACCUUCAGCACAUUAACUGGCAUUCAAACCAGAUUACCGUCCUGGACUCUUUUUGACAUUCUUCUGACUGGAUGGCAGAAUGGGGACUCAGUUUCCUCUCGUUUUCUUUGGUUAUUUUCCUUUAUUUUUUUCUCUUCAUAUAUUCCACAUACGGGUGUAUUUAUACUACAAUCAACCUAAACCCCAAUGACUACACUCAGGUGAUCUCUAUUGAACUAAUUAUGUGACUUCUAAAACCAAUUGGCUGCACCAGUGAUGAUUUAGAUGUCUUAUUAAAAGGGGUGAAGAGAUAUGCAAAUAUGUAUUUUAUAUUUGUAAUUAAUAUGAGUCACUUUUUUUUCUUUGAUCCAAUGAUGUAAAACAAUAAAACAUGAAAACUUUCAAAGGGGGGCGACCACUUUAUGUGGCCACUGUAUGAGCUGUACAUGAAUAUUAGUACUGCACUGAUGAGUUGGUGCUUUCUACCCUUUCUCUUCAGUGUCAAUUUGUAACUAUAAAUGAAACUACUCCUGAAACUAUC